AAAAAAUAAAAUAUAAAGUUUGCUAAAUUUGAAGAAUGAAACAUCUCUUAAAAAGAAUAUAUAUUCACUCAUCCCUGCAUAGUAUAUUCCAGGGAGUGAAUAUAUUAAGUCUGGGACUAUAUAAGGGGAGACUUGCAUCCUUUUUUCAUACAAAACGCUUAUUUCCAAGUCUUCGAAAUCUCUCUUCACUCAGAAACGGAAAUUUCAAAAAACUACUUCCAAAGCAACUACGUCUGUUAGGAUAUCUAGUGAAUAUGAAGCCAUCAUUCAAACUUAGCAAGCUUUUAUUCAUAAGGACUGUGUCAUUGAUAUCAAACGUUCCUGCACAAAUUGUCAAAAAAAUCUUCUAAUACUAAUGGAAAUCUAGAUCACUGUUAAUGUUAAGAAGGAUAUGUUCGUUGUUCCGUAUGAUAAGAAUUUCAAAGUAUGUUCCAAGCUUAUUCAAGACUUGACAACAGAAAAAAAAACCCAAAGAAAUUGUAACUGCUGAAACUAGUCGAAAGAAAAUCUUUGCAAGACUUAGCUAUUCGACCAAAUUAAUACGCUCCAAUUUACGUUACUUUUUCUAUUGUUGUCAAAUAUAUAUUGUCUAUAACCUCAGUGAAUAUGAGAGUAAAUACAUUAUGGAAGAAGAGUCA
rnacentral:lncRNA from 1 species